UGAAACCAAAGCAAAAUCUGGAAAUGAGUCCUGAGCCAAAUGAAAGAGCAGAUGAGCUAGAGCUCUGAACCCCAAAUAACCGAACGAAUUAAUGGGCAAAAAGGAGAGAGCGCAGAGAAGCGACGCCAGGAAAUCUCUUUUCUCCGUACCAUUCCUUAUUCUGAUCACCAAAGUCUUGCUGCAAAUCUGAUCGAUGUAUGGGCAACAUGUUCUCUCCAAGUUUUGGAUGAUCCACAUUCGUACAGCAUACAGUGGCGUAAGUCAAAUUGUCACGGAAGUUUGGAUCAUCUAUAUGAUUUCCGAGGUCGUUGUUGGAUUGGAGUGUGAUCUUGUAAUAUUCGAUGUUGUUUUGAAAGUUCAAGGUUUAAGACUAAAAGGAAGAUUAAUGGGAAGAAUUGAAGAUGGAGGAGACCAAAGAUAUGUUGCUUUAAGGAAAUUAUGUAAAAGAAACUGAAAAAUACCAAUCGAAAUAAUUGCACAGGCCUAUUUUAAAUAAAAUUUUCUCUUUAUCAUUAUGUGUAACACACAUAUUCAUCAUGAGGUGACUACUUUUAAUUCACGAGGUGUUAGAAAGAUUGUCUAAAUACCAGUCUCCCUGGUCCAAAUUGAGACCAGAAACAGUAUGCACCCCGCACCCCAUACUUAUCUUGCAUUUUUAUGUGUAGUAUGAUCAAAUGACUGAAUAUUCAGUAUAAUUGUUUUCUCUUGCCAUGAAACCAUAGAUCUAUCUUCUUCUGUCAUCACGGAGAGAUGAUUUAUUAGGCGGAGUCCGAUAGUGAAGCAAGUUGCUAAAUCAUUUGCUCUUAUUUUACACCAUUCUUAGAUUGUGGAUGAGGUUUCUCAAGUUGCUGAGUUCAUAGAAACUACGAAAUCUAAAUCCUUUCAUGAAGUCUCAUGCUUUUGCUGUCAUACUUUUCGGUUUUAAAAUAUCUCGAGCACAAUACUUAGUUAAGCUCUAUGUUUCUUCUUGAUGAGGAAUUUGUAUAUGCAUAUACUGGUGAAUAUUGCAUUUCUGGAAUGAAAAUGUAUGUUUGCCUGAUUUGUUUGGCUUUUCCCUACUGUUUUCACUAAGUCGGAGACGAUUUAGGAUUGUCCUAUUGUGAGCAAAUAACACUUGGAUCUUUGGAAGUGACUUAUGCUUGAAAGGUUCCAAGAAGAACUGAACAUAGUUUUAAUCUUUUGCAAUCUUAGAGAAUAUUUGUUGCGUCUCAUGGUUUCUGACCUUUGAGUGGAUCAAAAGUUAAUUGGGUGCAUAUAGCUCAUCUUUUGUCAUAAGAUUGCUAAAUGACUCCAGAGUUUCAAGAAAGAGAAUACCUACCAUCUAGCAGUAGUACAUAAUUUAAAAAUUAAAGUUGUUAUCUUUCAAAAGUUUAUCGAACCACUCUAGCAGCUAAUUCCUAUUCAUAUGCAGUUAUGAGGUGUAUUCAUACAAUUCUUUUCUAGGAAGGAACUUUUUGAAGCAUGCUAAAUUUGGAGCUGCUGCCUUUUCUGAAAGCUAUCCUGAAGGUAAAUAAGGAUGUAUACGACAGACAAUGCGCUACAAGGGUAUGUCAAUUACAACCAAUCAGUGCAACUCUGUUGCUACUGCUCUUUCUCUACUAUUUUAAUAUACACAUUUUUCCUAUUUUAAAAGAACCAGAUGCUAACUAUAGUUUUUACAGGUAUGACUUUUUGUCAGACAUAACAAAAAUAGUGCUUGCCAGCAGCAUGUUGGUUGCAUUAAUGCAUCAUAUUUUGUGUGUAUCGGCUUCUUUUGAUAUGUAAAUAAAAUAUGUAUGUUAGUUGCAUGUACAACUUUUUGUUCCAAGUGUAUGUAGAUGGUAUGCGGUAGUUAUUCAACUCUUAAAUCAGCGGAAGUUGAAUCUAUUCAAGUCUUAAACAAGAUGACCUUGCUGUUUGUAUUCAAUUAUAUUCUCAUAACACCAGCAAAUAUUGGGCUCGUGCUGGCACGGAAUUCUCGCCUAGUUAUAUUAGAAGAGCUAGUGGUUUCGACAGGUGUUGAGGGCAAUUUAGUCAUUUAAUCUACUAGAUAAUGUGGCUUUUGUUUCUGCAGCCAACGCAUCUUCCUUCCAUUCUUUCUUAGCCACGCAUAUUGUUAUAUGACUCCAGGCGUGAUCUUCUCUUUUAACAUCUUAACUCCCUUUUCUCUCUCUUUCUACCAAUCUGCAAUUUUCUAGACAUGCACUGAGAAAAAGCAGUACAACAACAAUUUACCACAAUCAAGGCGUAGCACAGAGAAAGGGUAAAAACCAGUUUCUUCAGUCUUGGAAUAAAGACCUUUUAUUGCACUUAAUCUUGUUCCCCGUUGGGUGUUUAAAUCUCAGAGCAGUGUUUGAUGCUUUUUUGGAGGAUUUCACAUCACCUACGACGGAGUAAUAUAUGGAAGUUGUCACUGAGUUUAUUAAUUGAGGGGUGCAAUAAUCAGAUGAAAUAGCAAGCUCUUGCAAUCCGUUGUGAUUAUUUUCUACUUCUGUUAUGCAGUAGCACUUGAACAGUUGAACAAGGUAAAUACAGUUGAACAAGAACACUGUUUCUAUUAAUUUGGGUUGAACGACGAAGAUUGACGCUUGAAGUCAUGCUGAGUUCUCAAAUUCUACUAGCUAAACGAAGCAGCAUAUAUGCAAUAUUGUCUUCAUCUAGCUUGAUAUUACUCUCUUUUUGUUUUUACAAAAUUUCAUUGUAUCAUACAUUCAAGCAAUCCAAAUAGAAAUAACUAUUUAGGCUUUUACAAUAUUGGGCUCGUGCUGGCACGAGCCAUCGUUACCUAGUAUUUUUUAUAUAGAAGAGCAAGUUUUUCGACAUGUCUGCUUAAGUGUCAUUUUAAUUUUAUCUGAGGGCAUUCUCGACUUUUCUCAAUACUUCAUGCAACUUGGGUUUAACCCUGCAACUGAGUAGACACGUAUCAUUGGCCACUUCUUGCUAUUUGUUCAUCGCCUUCUUCUGCCUCUUCUCUAUUUCAUCUUCCCAUGUUGCGAUUUUGCUGAUUUUGGCAUUUCAAGCAAAAUAUAAUGAAUUAUCCAUUGGGCUAUGUUGGUUGCACUUGGUGCUUUGAAUCCGAACCUGUUAGAGCUGACGAGAUUGUUUCAGUUUGCGCCUUCGGGGAACCGAUUAAGGAUGGUAUCUUUCAUUUAUGUGUUAUUGCUAGAUUUUCCUUUGUUAACAUGUGAUGCUACCAGAUCUAUUGAUAUUAUGAGUUCUCAUAACACAAAUUUACGAGAUCCAAGUUAUCAUCCGCCGAAUUUCUGACCUAGAUCUUGGAUCCAUUAAGGUAUUCACAUAGUUCAAAAGUUUGUUUUACUGCUCUUUUUUGUUACUUUUAUCUUUCUUUAACCAGUAAUUGGUAACACUGGUACUAAUAUGUAUCCUGCUAAAUAAGUAAUAAUUUCAAAUUUUAUUGAACUGGAUCUCAGCUAUUUCAAUUCUAUUUAUUUUUGCAAUUGAAGAAUAUCCACAAGCAUAAGCAUGGGAUGGAAAUAAAAAUUCCUCCCUCGAAAAAGUGCUGAAUGGUAUUUACUUCUUCCUACAUCAUUCUUCAUUUCUAUUGUGCUACUUCUUGGCCUUCACUUGGUUUUCGUCUAAAGUUUCUCCAUUUGGUUACAAUUCAUCUCUGUUUCUCUUAAAAUUUAACUGUAAAUAUUUUUUGAGGAAAAUAUGCAAUGUUAAGUUGGUGUUUAGAAUUCGCAGAUGAUACCAGCUCUUCUAUAAUAUUAAAAUAUGCAUGUUUGUGAUGACUGUUGUUUCUGGUGUGUGUUGAUUGUUUGGAGAGUAUAUGUGUUCUUCGAGGAUGAACUUGGCAGUAGAAUUGUGAUUCUAUUUUCUCCGAGAUUACUGAUAUUAGAAUCUUUCUGCUUAUCAAGUUUUUCAUAUUUCUUUGUAUAUUCCACACGUGAGUGUGAUUAUUUUCCAAAAGUAGCGAUGGAACGUAGAAGAAUUUUGGUGCACUCAAGGCGUUUGACGAUAUGACUGAAUCAAGUUAAUUUUUUUUCUCUUUUCUGUUUCCAUAGGUAUUCUGCAAUAUACACAUCAAUCAUCCACUAAGUCAAAAGGUACAUUAUUUACUUCUACAAAAUUAGUAAAUUAUAUAUUGUGUGUUAUUUGUUAUGUGCCAGUGUUAAAGAAAUUAUUCUUUGAAACAUAUUCCAUUUGCUUCAAGUAUAUCUCUAUUGCAGUGUUGCUACUAUUUGCUUAACUUUUUAUCAACAACAAAAAUUAGAUGUAACUUAUCACCACUUCAAAAAUGUACUAAAUUAUAAAUAAUUUGACAAAAGUUACAAGCUUUUCAAUCAGAAAUCUACAUACAAAGAUACUACGGAUUGAAUACCUAAAUCUUAAAAGAAGAAACAGAGACGACUCUCUAGAUUCAUGCUUUUAGGAGCUUCAAGUGUCUGUUAUCUCAUGUUAAUGUUUAUUAACUAGGACAGGUUCUCUUGUGUAUAAUCAACAAAAAAAAAGAUUCUCUUUGCGGUAUACUUGGUUUUCUCAUCAUCUCUGUAGAUAAUGUUAGUGGUUGAUGCUUUUGAAUGAAUUAGUCAACUGUAGAAAGUGAAAAACAAAUUAAAGAGUGAAUCAGAAUCAGAGAAGAAAGAGGAAUGGUGUUUAGAACAGGAUGGGCUGGCUGGUACCAGCUUCGGAGCUUCCUAAAAGAGAGAUUACUUUCUUCUUUUAGUAGCGUCAAAUACUGGGGAAGGCUUAUAAUAGGCUGUGAUGAUAUAUGGGUUGCUUUAUCAUUGGAUUUGGCAACAUAGUGUUGCAGAGCCUUACUGACAAAACUUGCUGCAAAGAUAGUUGUGAAGGUUUGGAGUAGGUUAACAAGUUUAAAAGUGCCAAUCACCUUAGUGAUUACUCAAAUAAGUUGACUAUCAUGGUGCUGAAAUUUCUUUUUAUGUCACAUUGUUUAGAUUUUUUUAGUCUUAUGAUAGCCUACUUUAUCAAGCCUUAGGCCUGACUUUGACGGUUAUUCACUAGAAGGUUUAGUUUCUACAACGUAAAAGGGCUUUAGCAGCAUCUCCUGAUUUUUAGUACUAAAAUGUGAAAGAAAUAUGGUAUUUAUGAGAGUAAUAUGGUAAGUAAAUUGAAAUUUAUCAUGUAAGCAAAUUUAUAUUUAAGUUAAACACAACUCACAAGAUAUAUAAAUAUGUCCCCAAAAGAAUAGCGCUAACUAUGAAAGAAAUUAUAAAAUAGGAAAGUCGAUUAUACUAUGAUAUUAAGAAUCAAAAUAGUUAAAAUGCAAACUCACAGAAAUACAUAAAUCCCCUACAGGCGCAACGCGAAAGCUAGUAUAUUAUAUAAGGAAGGGAGCAUGGGUUCACAUGCACCAUGCUCUACCAUAUAGAUAUCAUCCGAUGGAUAUUUGGUUAAGACUAUAUAAGAAUACAAUAUUCAAACAAUAAAAGACAAACAAAUUGAUCAAUUGCAUUUGGGAGGAAGUGUUAACCAGAAAAAUUGAGACUUUUUGUUGCUAACAUGUGGGCAUGGGAGGGAUACUGAUAGGCUCUGUGUUUCCAAAUUGAAUACAUAAAGACGACGAUCUUCGUGCUUAGUGAAGUAGAUAGAUUCUCUCUUGAGAUUAGUACCUUUUGUGGAGCAAAUUGUUCCCCGAUAGCCAUUUAGAAAAAUUGCAGUUUCGCCAAUGCUUUUCACCUUUACCCACGCUUUUUCUUUAAAAUCAAAUCAAAACACCAGAAAGCCGUAUAUCUCCUCCAUUUGCCAUCCAUGAUACAAUACGUGAACAUAUAACAACGCGUCAUUAUCGUAUUGAAUGAGGUAACACGCACGAUGUGGCAGGUCUAAGAAUUCUCUAAAAUCAACCGGGGGUUGGUUAACCAUUGGCGUAGCUGUUACUAUUCCUGAGUCAUGAUCUAGAUCAAAAAGUGUUAGAAUUUCUGUUUGAGAAGAUGAUCCAUAAAACUCUCCUCUGAAAAUUGUCCAGAACCACAGUAUGCUAUUUCCACUAAUUUGUUGUAAAUCAUAUUUGUUGAAUUCUUGAUUAUACGUCCCUGGCUUACAAAAAUAAAGUGAAGACGGGGGGUCAAAGAAGAGAAUGCAACAUCCAGGCUCAUGGAGUGGUGCGGACAAUAGACAUUGUAUCUGGGAGUGGUGGGAGUUGAAUUUUGUCGUUUGAAAUAGGAUUCCAAAUGUGGCAAUCUCCAGAAUCGAAGUCAAGUAAUACUAGCCACCCAUGAGCACAUUCACAUAUCUUUUUGUUUCGAAGUUCUGGUAUAGUUCGCAUGUAAUAUCGAUCUUCUGAGAUGCUGAAAAAUGUUUGCUUUUGCUUGUUAGCUCCAUGGGAAAUAACAAGCCAAGGGUGUUGUUGCGGAGAGAAAGGAGGAGUUGGCGCUUGCCUACAUUGACCCCUCGGCCUCCUCCUCUGCCUUUGCAUAAAUGUGGUUCUUGUAUCAAUACACCUUGUUUGAUGACUAUAUAUGAAGAAAGAGGUUUUCACGGCUGAAGAUGUGGAUAAUGGAGGAAUAUUGGUUGUGUUUCUAACUCACGAAGAAGGAAAAGUAGAGGUUUGGAGAUACAACGUGAUCGAUGAGAACUUGGAGAGGGAACAAAUAACAAGUUUGGAUAACAGAACACUAUUUGUGAAAAAAGAAGCUUCAUUCUUGAAACCUUGUGUUGCGCCAGGGUUAGGAAAUAAAAUAUUUUUUUCAAUGUUUCAUGACAACAGCAAGGGUAUUUUUUAUUGUUUGGCCACUCGCAAAUAUUACUCUUUAGUGCAGCUUUCUCAAGUCCAAGUAGUUACAAAUUGGACCGACCGACACACUGCAUCUGGAUUGAUCCCUCCUCAUAUGAUUGAAGUAAAGAAUGAUUUCCCAAUUUGUUUUGGUAUUUUUCAUUAGUUAGCAAUGUUGUAUUGGUACUACCAGAUAAGAGACGAACUACUUGCUUUGCUUUUUCA